UCGCCGACGAGUAGCGCCAAACGCGGCGUCUACGUGUGCGGACACUGCCACCGUGCAUGUCCCCAUCACUCGCCUUCUCUCGACCCUUCUCCAAAGCUGAAGCUGCCGCAGCCGCACCACCACAUCCCAUCAUCUUGUGUUACAGAGAAGGAAAGAGGGAUCGAGCAGCGUGUUUCAGACGUUUGAUGAUGGAGUGGUGGUGCUUCCCAUGCGGCGAGUUCCGGUCGGCGUCGCCGCCCGUCUCGGCAUCCGCAGGGCCGGGCUGAGGAAGGAGGUGAGGACGUGCACGUCCUGCGGGAGAUGCUGCGGAAGCCCGACCCCGAGAUCGAACGGCAGUCGCCGGCAUGCAGCGCGAUCGAACGGCGGCAUGCAGCAUGUUUCAUUACAUUGUGACGUUUAAACAUGUUCGAUUGGCUUCGUAGAUGAUGUCAAUGAGGUACUAAAACCAAAAAACUGACAUCUUUUGGGUGCG